CUGGGGUUCGGGUCGGCGGUUUGCCGCUCUGCGGCUACUGCCGUGCUCGACUCUUACUAGCUGGUGCGUCUCGCGGUUCUCUUAACUGAGUGCCACGAGAGCCUAGCAUGUUUACUUUGAAAAAAUUAGAGUGCUCAAAGCAGGCGUCUACGCCUGAAUAGUGUUGCAUGGAAUAAUGGAAUAGGACCUCGGUUCUAUUUUGUUGGUUUUCGGAACUUGAGGUAAUGAUUAAGAGGGACGGUCGGGGGCAUUCGUAUUUCGGUGUUAGAGGUGAAAUUC
rnacentral:rRNA from 1 species